GAUGUGAGGUGAGAAGGAGGAGAAUGAGAGAAAAGUAGGAGAGGGACAGGAGAGUGUGGAGAGAGUUAACGAGAGGGAGAGCAUUAAUUGUGUGCAUUGUGCCGGGGCUCUUUUGCUGAGUGUGGAUGUCGAGGUGCGGGCGUUCACCCCUCCAGCAGCCCGCCCUGAUCUGAGCCAUCUCUCUCACACUGAUGUAUUCCAAUGCAAUUAGGCCACUCAAAGACCUGCUUAAAGCUGCACCCCCCUAGCCACCCACCCUCCUCUCUCUCUUUAACUCUCACUCUCUCUCAGCAGCCCCUGUAGGUUACCCUCCAUUGUAACAGGGAGGUGUAUUCUGUCCCUCUUUGAGGCCCUGGAUGAAGAGACCACCCUAGGGAGCAGAAAAAGGGAGGAUUACCUCUCUUUUCUCUUUGUCCCCUUUUCCUCUGUCUUUCUGUCUCUUUAUCGCUCACUCUCUCCGUGUUCACCUCUAAAGUGCCAGAGCUCAGGUAGCUCUAUAUAUAAAUAUAUAAAGCACAGCUUUGGUUAACUCUUCCAAAGAGACACAACUUAAAGGUGUUGCAGCAGGAAACAGAAGUAGAGCAAGUGGAGACCCUUUGUGAUAGAUGUCAAUGUGGGGCAACUCAGCAGUAUCACUUUCCCCUCUUUCUAUUUUCAAAGUCAUAUUUCAACACGUGUUGUGGAGCUUCUAGCUCAUUACUCGUCCCUUUUUUCACCUCUGCCGCAGCUUCAGCAAGAUAUCGCUCUUUCUCUGCCGAAUUAAAGGAGAAAUCUGGUUGCAUUUAACACUUUGGUCGAGGUCAACAAGUACUCUUGAGGGGAAAUAAGUAAUACUGUCCUACAUAGACCUACCACACACUUGGACAGUGUUUUCUUUAAAAUAAAAAAGCAUAUGGUUUUGAAUUGUGUAUUUUGCCAGAAAGUGAACAACUCUGCCACGUACUCACUGAAAAAGAAUGGUAGAUAUUGUACAUAAAAAAGAAGAAGUAUAUCCUAUAGACUUCUUCUGCUUUCUCACGCCAAAGCUAAACGUGUGCAUUGUGUCCUACAACAAACUAGGCCAGACCAUGUUGCAUAGUACUUGUGACGAUAUUUUGAUCAGUGGAAGUGUCCAAGCAGAAGGCUGACUUGCUUUAUGUUGGACCAUGUUGUCUGGAUUUCUUCCCUAUUUAUUUAAAUAGUCAUACUUCAACAAGUGGUGUGGGCCAUCUAGCUCACUCUCCCCUGUUAGCCUCUGCACCACAGCCUUAGAGAGUCAGUCCCCACUGCUCGGCAUGAUGGCAGAGUUCUGUUGGCUUGGUUUCAGAAUGUCUCUGUCCCCAGAAAGCGCUUAAAGCAGAUUACCAACCCUAACACUACACAACCCCAAUAAGAGAGAAAUCUGGCACAUUAUUACCAGCAAUACUACUAAAUGGCAUCAACAGAUUAACGAGGUAAUCCACACAAUGAGGUCUUUGAUUCAUGUGGUUUGGCAGGCAGCAAUGCCAGGCAUAAUGCAUGCUCUUAUUACCCAGCACGAGAAAACCUGGCAGAAGCCAUUGUGUUUUUUUUUUUUGUUGUCUUUCUAUCAGAUGAGCUUUUGAAGAUUUUUUUUAAGCUUAUGCAUCUGGUGCUUUUUGCUUGUUUCCUCAUAUGAGAAACAACCUGCUGGCUGGACCUGUGGAGGAAGGGGAGGAACCACAAGGUUUCUGAAGGCUGUUUAAACAGCAGGGCUGAGGCGUUCUCCCGCGUCCUUCCCCCCAUUUUUCUGCAUAAGGACGUGCGUAGAGGAUGUUUGUGUGUGUGUGUGUGUGUGAGGGAGGGAGGGAGAGACAGACAGAUCUCCCAGUCCCAUCGCUCAUGUGCGGCUCGAUUAGCCCCACGUGCCUCGUUCAUCAGACGUAGAGGCAGAGCAGAUGGCAGGAGACGCACCAUGUUACCACGCUGCAGCACUAUGUAACACUGCUCUAAUUGAAACAUCAAUACUUCCCUGUCAAUAAACUAUUGCUACUUUACAAAACAACACUACCUACAGACCUGCACUUGACCAGAGGAGGCAUGGCAACACUAGUCUCGGCGUCAAACUGAGAUUCAGUGGAAAAAAGUUUCAGACAGAUUCCAAAAAUAGGGAAUUGCACGUUUUUUAAGUGAAUUAAUUUCUGCAAAACAGAUUUAUUGUGGUAAAGGAAGCAUGAGGCAGAAAAGAGGGAGAGACUUUCAUCUGUAUCUUUUCUACAGUGGCACAUUUUUUAAUGAAUUGAUAAAAAGUUGAGGGAGCUCCCAUGGCUGCAAUCAGCAAUUCAACAUUAUCAGAAAUUCACUGAAGAACAGAGAGAAAUUAGGGAGCUAGAAAUUCAUUUGUUAUUUGUCCAACCCAAUGAGGAGUGACACAGCGCCUUUAAUAAAUGGGUAAUCCAUUUCUUAUUGCGCUGAGCUAAUUCACCCUUCACUGAAGUGGAAAAAGACAAACAUAUCUUUCACUAACCUUUGCAACUUUCCCAGGAAAACAAAGAGUACGGAUGAGAGGUGAGAGUUGCUCCAGGGACUAUUUGUUUUUGGGGAAGGAUUUAUAUGGUUGUGUGUGUGUUUCUGUGUCUGGCAGAAGUUAGGGAAUCGAGUAUUAAUCAUCACGGCUGACACUGACAACAGGUCACACAGUCAAACUACACUACGCAGGGUUGAUUCAUGACCAACUGGACUGUCGGACUGUGAAAAAUAAUGAUCUUUAUUUAACUCUGGUUUAUAUUUGUUUCCUCACUCCUCUGCCCACCUCCACCUCUCCUGACUUUCUGCUCACAGUUCCUCCACCUCCUGGAUUUGAAGUACUUUUUGCUGAUCCAUUAUGACAACAUCCUGGAGAAUCUACUAAGAUGUUAUUACUCAGAAUGGAGGAUUUGCAUCCUAAAGCCCUGACGCUGACGACAGCGUUCAACAGAAAUGCUGCAUCUGCACAAAUCCCUCCUUCUUUUACCCCGGCACGCACCUUCAGAGACAAACAGACACACACUCAACCGCACACCAAUGGCAGAGAUUUGUGAGCCAUUCUUCAGUGUCACAGUGAGCGACGCCUGGCACAUCCCUACACCUGAAGAGAAAAGGAAGAAAAGACAACAACAAGGCAGCGAGGGCUGCAGCUAAUGGAGAGGCUGUAAUUGUGAAUGGAGGCAUUCAACUGGAGACAUCGUCCGUGAAUUGCGCCAUACAAUGCCCAGCGCCAGGCUGCUCAGAUCACCAACUAGUCACCAAACACACACAGAUACACAAAAAUACACACAACAAUACCCACAUACACACACACUGAACCCUCAGAUCAGUGGUGCUGAGAGGAGGAACGUAAUCACACCUCCACAGAGAGCAAUACACUGAGGAUGGGCGCAGAGGAGGAGAAGGAGGAGGAAAAGGGCUAGAGGGGAGGAGAGGAUGAGGAGAGGAGCUGUAGGGAAGGAGAGGGAGAGGAGAGAGAGGAGAAAUUAUACAAGAGGGGGAGAAGGAAAGUGAGAGAGGGGACGGUGAAAUUGAUGUUUCCUACCAUUUGAUUUGGGCCAUAGAGCCCAGGAGGCAGAUCAGAUAGUGUGUCCUACACACACACACACACACACACACACACGCAUGUGUGCACAGUCUGUUUGCAGACAGACCCUCACAAACGAGACAAACACACAAAAUAUACGCCGUUUCCUCCUCACACUGUGUGGUGCACAUUGUACACACAUCUGCAAAACAACAUCCACACAUGCAUAGUGUGAAGUAAACACGAACGUGCUGUACAGCAAACACCAGAGUCAGACAUUUUAAGGGGUUUGUAGCAAAUUGCUUGAAAUAUCUCAAUUCACCAUUGGAACUCUGAAACUGAAUGUUUUAAAUGCUACUGUCAAAGAGAAUAUCGCAAAACACAAAUGAGAAAGUGUGCAGGUCGGCUCAUGUAUCACACACCACUCAUCACUGUGGCCCCAUAGUUGUUGUGAUUUACAUAAACGUUGGCAAAGAAGAAGCUGCAAACGGAGAUAAGCACAUGUUAGCCAAGUAAGAAUUAAAAGAAAGCCAAAUAUUAGAAAAAAUAAUAACUUACUAAACAGCCGACAGCAUUUCUUUUAGUAUUCUCUUUGUCCCCUGAGGGAAACUAUUCUUAACAUUUAACCCAUGAAACCUCUCCUAGUGAUAAACACUGGACUAUAUUUAGUGUUUGAGGAGGGGGUGAGUUUGCUGCUUCAUCACUACAGUCCUGGCAAGGCUGGGACUCAAACCGACAAUCGUCCAAAUACAAGCCAUGCGUUGUCAUAUCAAGGUAACUUUAAAGCUAACUAGGUAAAAACUAUGGCUGAAGAAAUUAAGGAGUUAAUUCUGUUGUUAAAUAUAGGAAGAAUAAUUAAUUUUAGAGCAUUUUAACACAUAAGCAGAAUGGUGCACAUUCUAUAUCCAAUAACCCCGACAUCUAUCCACUUAUUUUCGCCCUAACGAUUGGGAAAUAGUUUGCCAGGGACAGUAGACAAAUUAAUGUUGGUCUACAGGACAACAGCUUCACUGUUUUCAAAACAUUCAAUGUGUUCUAGCCAGUAAAGAUUAAAAUCCACAAUUCUAUGAAGCAAAAUGUUAUAUACUGCUCUUGACAUGUUUCCAUUUAAAUAAGUCCAUGAUUUAGUCACAAAUAAAAUCAGGUGUGAAACACAUACAUCGACCAGCAGUUAAUAGUCUUUCUGUCCUGGCAGUUUAUAUAAAGCUUUUUUAUAUGUCAUGUACAGACAUGGUGAUUUAACAUGAUUAAUCAUGAUUGAUUACAUUCACAAUUAUUAUUAUUGAUUUAUGUAUUUAUUUAACAGCUACUCUAUGAUUAAUCUGAUUAAAAAAGUAAAAACAUGUGAGCACGCCCAGAAUGUUUAAGAUGUCAUGUUCUGAAAUAGCUAAAAGUUGACCCUAAAUGAAAUGAAACAGUUCAUAGAAAGUUAGAAAAAUACAUAACAAAAAUGAUUAAAAAGCAGAUAUAAUAAUAAAUAAACUGCCUUGGAUGAAGCUAAAGCACAACCACAAUUUGACAAGUUAAAUCCCUUUUAUAUAUUUAUAAAAUCCCCUAAAUAACAUUUUACUGAAGCAUAAAGGUAAAGAGAGAGAGAGAGAGAGAGAGAGAGACAUGUUUUUCAUAAACCGUCUUGUCUGUUGUUUACAUACAGGAACCCUUUGCACAUGACUUCCUCCACUUUAUAACCAUACUGUACAUCUAAACACCACACAGAUGUACCCACAUUUUAAUUUGCACAACUGUAACAAAGUAGUUUCCCUGUAGGGAUCAUUAGAGGUUUUCUGAUCCUGGUUCUGAAAUAGACAAAUAACAAUACACAGUACAUACAUAUACAUCCUUGCAAACAGUAUGUGUAAAACUUGUAAGGGUUCAGAGCAGCCUCUUAGAAAACCCUACGCUUCCCUUUACCUGCUGAAACACUGGAGAAAACUACACAAACAAACACAAUUAGGCCAAAACACACAGAAAGGUGGGAAGGGGGCCACACACACACAACAAAGACCAUGUGAAGGUAUAUGAAGAAAAAACUCUUCAUCUCCAGGAGGCGAGACGAGGCAGCUGUCAACGCUGCAGCUCCUGCUACUACAGGAGAAAACAUCAGGACACAACAACUCAAUUAAACACUCCAUCCCUGUUCAAUUACAGCCACAUAAUCACUGCAAUUUACCUUCACUCGCCACCAAACAAACACACAUGGACAGCGUGGACACACAGAGAGGGAGGAGAAAACCGACACAAAUGCACACACACACACACACACACACGAGGCAGCAUCACAAUAGAAAACCAGGCUGGAGCUGCUGGAGCUUUGUCCCACACAUCAGUGAGUGUCAGCAUCAGGUGUCUUCAAGGAAAAGAAGAUACAUAGGAUGGUGGUGUGAUGGAAGAAGUGCACGCUUAAAUCCCACUUUUUUUUUCAAUUCAAACAAUUCAUUUGGAUUAGGUUUGUUUUUUGUGCUGACUUAAGGAAUUCUUGGUUGAGAUCGACUGGUUUCUUCAUCAGCCUUUAGUAAUUUCUAGAAAAUGUUUAGCUAAAUAGCUUUUAUUAUUCAUGUAUUUAGCUAAUUUCUAUCUACUGCUGUGUAAAGUGUUUGGGAUGUGAUAAGAGUUGAUUCUACCAGAGAGAGGACAUUAUAAAACGAGAUCUUUCUGCUUGACUUUAAGCUAACUUCAGAUAACUUAAAAUAAAUAGGAUUUUUAAAAAUUAUUAUUACUAUUUCUAAUUUUAUUUAUUUUUUGCAAUAACUUGAAUAUAAUUCAGGUCAAAUUAUCUUUUUUUUUUUGCUUUAUUUGUUCAAAUUAAUGACCAGCAUGGGUAAUCUUAGCUUGCACCUCAUUUUUAUUAAGUCUCUGCGAGGACACUGGAUAAACUCAGUCGCCACUUUUUUUUUUUUCGUCGUCCCUUCAAAUGAAACCUACUUCAACAUGCCUGCAAUAAAUCCAGUUUUAAUGAAGGUUGUAAUGUUUUGUUGCUGUUGUGUUGAUUUAACUUUAUGGUCAUUUUGGAGGCUGCUGGUUGCAGUGCACAGGGGUGGGAUUUAUAGCUGGCUGUUGUAUUAGACUGAAUUAACCCGCUGCUAAAUGUACCUUAUAAACUGGCAAUUGUAUUUCUUGGUUCCUCCAAUGAUUUAUGGAGAAACGUGGGAUUUAACAAAGGACACAGUGGGUCACAGAAAAUCACUAUGUGUUAUUUGCUAGGUAAUUUGUCCUCCCAUUGGGAUGUGUGAAAGUCUAUAAUAAUUAAAAAGUAGAUCUGGAAAGGGACAGAAAUCAUUAAAAUCUCCACAGUAAAAAGUGGAGGUCCUCUGAUAAAACCCAGUCUCUGGACUUUUCAAGUUGCUGAAUGAAAAUUCUCCCACACACUACCAGUUAAAUCUCACUGACAGAGCACAUGUUCAGUCACAGUUACCUUCAGCUGCAUUUUUUUGACGGUCAGACAUGAAGAUGGAUGGAGUUUCCACAUCAAAUUAUGAUCAAAUAUUACGAUCAAACAUUGCGUUCCAAUAUGAUAUAUUUAACUGAAAAACUUAAAGAAACAAACUUUGGCUGAAGAGAUAUAUAUUAUUUAAAUCUUAAAAACUUUAUCUAUCUUCUAUACAUUAUUAGCCACUAGUUUUUUCCAGUGUUUUUAAUGCAGUUCCCACAAUUUGCAUGGAUUAGGACCCCCAACUUAGCCAUGUUCUCCCCUAUGGUGGGAUUUGAUGUUUUCAAAUUUGGAAGGAUUACCUAAAAUAUGUCUGCUAAUAAUGAACAUGUCAGGAUUGUGACAGGGCACCGAACCUGUGAAUGAGUGUGUCUCUUGUGUAAAGUAUGUGUAUGUGUGUGUGAAGACAACAG